rnacentral:lncRNA from 1 species
GUGUGCCAUUGCACUUAUAGUACCAUAACCACUGGAGCUUGCUUUAAUGAUUAUGGAGUUUGGAGUUUUGCUUCAAACUUUAUUUACUGAAGACACUCCUACUGAGUUGAACAAUGCAGGAUGCUAAAAGAAGCUGGCAGCAUAGUGCAGGGUUCUGUUUUAGAAUAGAGUCACAUUUUGUUUUGCUGUAUGCCACAGGGAUCUAUUUUUUUUUUUUUUUUAAAAGGGUGGCUAAGGUUUACAUUCAACUUGUAACAUGAAAGCCAGCAUUUUUUUUUUUUUUAAAGUAUCUAAAGGUAUUAUUUAAAAAAUGUAAAUCUCAUAUAUAUAUACACAUACAUAUAUACACAUACAUACACACACACACACACACACACACACACACAGUGAUUAGCCACACAAUUAAAACCACUGAGAAAUGAAGUGAAUAAGUUUAACAAAAUUGUUACAAUGACACCAGUCAAGGGAUAGGAUAUAUCAGGCAGCAAGUGAACAGUCAGUUAUGGAAUUUCAUGUGUUGGUAGUAGGCAAAAUGGGCAAGCAAAAAGAUCUGAGUGAGUUUGACAAGGGCCAAAUUGUAAUGGCUAGACGACUGGGUCAAAGUAUCUCUAAAACGGUAAGGCUUGUGGGGUGUUCCCGGUAUGCAGUGGUUAGGAAUUACCAAAAGUAACGCAUGGAAGGACAAACGGUGAACAGGCCGUCAGUGUCAUGGGCACUUGAGGCUUAUUGAUGCACAUGGGGAGCGAAGGGUAAUCUGUCUGGUUCGAUCACAGAAGGCCUACUGUAGUUCAAAUUGCUGAAAAACUUAAUGCUGGCAAUGGUAGAAAGGUGCCAAAAUACACAGCACAUCACAGUUUACUGCAUACAGUCAAACCAGUCAGAGUGGUGCCCAUGAGGACUCCUCUCCACCGCCGAAAGCGCCCUCAAUGGGGAUAAGAGUAUCAGAACUAAACAAUGGAGCAAUGGAAGAAGGUUGCCUGGUCUGAUGAACCACAUUUUCUUUUAGAUUAGGUGGAAGGCCGGGUGCGCGUGUGUUGCUUAGCUGGGUAGGAGAUGGCAGCAGGAUACACUAUUGGAAGAAGGCAGUCUGCCGCAGGCAGUGUUAUGCUCUGGGCAAUGUUCUGCUGAGAAAUCUUGGGUCCUUGCAAUCAUUUGAAUGUUAUGUUGGCAUGUACCACUUACCUAGAGAUUCCUGCAGACUAUGUACACCCCUUCAUGGCAAUCGUGUUCCCUGAUGGCAGUGACCUCAUUCAAAGCACCUUGCAGCACUGCAAAAACUGUUCAGCAAUUGCUUGAGGAACAUGAAAAAGCAUUCAAAGUAUUACCUUGGCCUCUAAAAUCCCAGAAUCUCAAUCUGAUUGAGCAUCUGUGGGAUGUACUGGAGGCCCCACCUCGCAACUUGCAGAACUUAAAGCAUCUGCUUCUAAUGUCUUGGCGCCACAUACCACAAGACAAGUUCAGAGGUCUUCUGGAGUCCAUGCCUCAUCGUAUCAGAGCUGUUUUGUAAGCACGAUUGGGACCUACCUGAUAUUAGGAAGGUGGUUUUAAUUUUG